CACACUAUCUUAUUAAACAAAAGUUUUCCUAUUUAAUCAAAUGGUCGUUUGGUAAAGCUGAAUGUAGAUAUAUUUGCUGCAACUCAUUUAAAGCCUUCUUCUCAAAUGAGAAAGGUAAAUAUGCUAGAUAUACUUACUGGAGGUGUGAUGAGAUGAUUGAAGCUGUUAAUUUUCUCCUUGAUAAUAUUUAUGUACGUUUCGGCAACAAAGUUUAUCGACAGGUUGUAGGUAUCCCCAUGGGAACUAAUUGUGCC
rnacentral:lncRNA from 1 species